rnacentral:misc_RNA from 1 species
AGGAAAUCACACGAAAGCUCAAAUUAAUUGAACCUAGUGGUGGCCGAGAUACCCCAGCAAAUCAAAUUAAGAGAAGAAGGUAAUUAAAAAAAAAAAAUAAUCCAGAAGACUAAAAGGCACUUAGUGGAAGCGAAUUUUGUGGUGACCCUCCAGAGUUUGAUUCUCAGAAGUAGGGUUCAGUAGUAUUUCUCUUGCAAGCUAGCAGCUUUGUACAGUAAGACAUAGUCCAUUUUAUUGUCUUUAGAUUAACUUUUAUGUCAAAAACAUUUUGUCUUUUUCAUGAAAGCUGUUUAGAAGAUUUAGAUGGUGGUUACAUGGUACCAGUGAGUGAUAUGCUAAAUGGAAUUUCCUCAGCAUAAAAUGUCCUAGAG